rnacentral:rRNA from 2 species
AGAAGUUAGCGGCGGACGGGUGAGUAACACGUGGGCAACCUGCCUGUAAGACUGGGAUAACUUCGGGAAACCGGAGCUAAUACCGGAUAAUAUAUAGUACCUCCUGGUACUAUAUUGAAAGUUGGUUUCGGCUAACACUUACAGAUGGGCCCGCGGCGCAUUAGCUAGUUGGUGAGGUAACGGCUCACCAAGGCAACGAUGCGUAGCCGACCUGAGAGGGUGAUCGGCCACACUGGGACUGAAACACGGCCCAGACUCCUACGGGAGGCAGCAGUAGGGAAUCUUCCACAAUGGACGAAAGUCUGAUGGAGCAACGCCGCGUGAGCGAUGAAGGCCUUCGGGUCGUAAAGCUCUGUUGUUAGGGAAAAACAAGUGCGAGAGUAACUGCUCGCACCUUGACGGUACCUAACCAGAAAGCCACGGCUAACUACGUGCCAGCAGCCGCGGGAAUACGUAGGUGGCAAGCGUUGUCCGGAAUUAUUGGGC